GAGAUGCAGAAUGGAAGAAGAGUGCCAACACUCUUCAGGGUACCAGGCAUCUCUCAACUCUCACAGCAUCUCCAGGAGGGAAGCCACUGUCUCAGCCCAAGAUAAUGACAUCUUCACCUGGACCAAUGCUAUUUAUCCUGGAACGAGAAGCAGUGGAUUUGGCACAUCUUCAGCAUUUGGGCUAGGAGGUCCAGAGAUUGCAAUGAUGCAGAGCCUCAGUGUCUGGGAUUGGAAACUCUGCAAGUCCAGCCACUCUGACACCGUGGCCAUGCCUUAGGAAAAUAGUUUUAUAGGAAGUAAAAAGAAAUAGAAAAGCUAGGUCACAAACGUGUUGUACCUUCAGGAGCCAAGAUCUGUGGUGGCACACCACCAGCUGAAUAAUCUAACAGUGUGGAAAAGGGUUUCCUCGUUCAGACCCAACUUCCAGCUCCAACUGCAGCCUUAGGCUCCCCAGCCCUAUCUGUAGGGGAGAAAGAUGGCACCUGGUUCCCUGGCCACCAGGCUUCCAUCGUCAUCCAGCAGGGACAAACAAGAUCCCAUGAACAACCAGACCACCUGGGUGGUAACAGAGACACUGUGUGGUCAUCACAAUAGGCAAGAGAACUGGAUGGCCUGCCAACUACAUUCCCUCCCUUGGAGGUGACAAGAACCAGAGCCAACUGCCUGACCCAUGAGGCCACCCUAGACCACCCACUCACUGGCCCACCCACCAGCUGACCACGGACCCAUGAGAGAACCAGAAAAACUGCCCAGGAAACCAACAAAAUAUGAUCCAGCCCAGCCUGUGAGACCCCAGCCAGCAUGGCCCACCAGGAUGGCUCUUCCACAAAACGGAGAUCCAUUUGGAAAUGGAAGAAGACUCACCAACCACUUCAGGCCCACCAAUGCAGUGCUUUCCCAGAGGAACUUGCAACUUAACAGCAUAAGGGACUUGACAUAAAGGCUAUUUCCACUGUUGUUUCCUGAGA